UUUCACUUGGUAUUGGAUGCCCA
rnacentral:siRNA from 1 species